CAAAGUUGGAACGCUGACAAUUCCAGAGAAGCUCUUAACUUCAUAAAUUAUAAAUCUUUAAUUUUUGAGCUAUCUUACUUGUAAAAGGCUGGCUACCCCGUCUUCCUUUAUGAUUAUUUCAGUUAGUUUGCAUCAAAAGCAAACACAUCAUGUAGUUGGUUGCGUCGCUUUUAUCCUUUUUGAAUUUGUGAAGG